UGAAUACGAGAUGCUACGGCGUCGAAGCAGUGUAUGUCAGACUUCCAAGAAAAGCUCGCAAUGUCAUAAAUAAAGAAUGCCUGUACCAUAACCGACACAGGUGGGUAGGUAGAGUAUACUAAGGGGCGCGAGAUAACUCUCUCUAAGGAACUCGGCAAAAUAACUCCGUAACUUCGGGAGAAGGAGUGCCUUCUUUAAGAAGGUUGCAAUAACAAGAUCCAAGCAACUGUUUAUCAAAACACAGGUCUCCGCUAAGUCGUAAGACGAUGUAUGGGGGCUGACGCCUGCCCAGUGCCAGAAGGUUAAAGAAGUUGGUUAGCUUUUGCGAAGCUGAUGACUGAAGCCCUGGUGAACGGCGGCCGUAACAAUAACGGUCCUAAGGUAGCGAAAUUCCUUGUCGGGUAAGUUCCGACCCGCACGAAAGGCGUAAUGAUUUGGAUACUGUCUCGGAGAGGGACUCGGUGAAAUAGACUUGUCUGUGAAGAUGCGGACUACCUGCACCAGGACAGAAAGACCCUAUGAAGCUUUACUGUAACUUGAAAUUGAAAUUGGACUUUAUUUGCGCAGUAUAGGUGGAAGGCGUUGAAAGUAAUCUUGCGGGAUUAGUGGAGCCAUCAGUGAGAUACCACUCCUAUAAUGUUAGAUUUCUAACUUUGGAUCAUGAUCUGGUCAAAGAACAGUUUCAGGCGGGCAGUUUGACUGGGGCGGUCGCCUCCCAAAUGGUAACGGAGGCGUACAAAGGUUUCCUCUGAACGGGUAGAAAUCGUAUCUAGAGUGUAAAGGCAUAAGGAAGCUUGACUGUGAGACCUACAAGUCGAGCAGGGACGAAAGUCGGUCUUAGUGAUCUGACGGUGCUGAGUGGAAAGGCCGUCACUCAACGGAUAAAAGUUACUCUAAGGAUAACAGGCUGAUCUCCCCCAAGAGUUCACAUCGACGGGGAGGUUUGGCACCUCGAUGUCGGCUCAUCGCAUCCUGGGGCGGUAGUACGUCCCAAGGGUUGGGCUGUUCGCCCAUGAAAGCGGUACGCGAGCUGGGUUCAGAACGUCGUGAGACAGUUCGGUCCAUAUCCGGUGUAGGCGUUAGAAUAUUGAGAGGAGCCUUCUUUAGUACGAGAGGACCGAGAAGGACAUACCUCUGGUGUACCAGUUAUCGUGCCAACGGUAAACGCUGGGUAGCUAUGUAUGGAGAGGAUAACCGCUGAAAGCAUCUAAGUGGGAAGCCCACCUCAAGAUGAGUAUUCUCA
rnacentral:rRNA from 1 species